GAGUGGACUAGGCCGGGCAGCUAGGCCCUGCUCGUCACCUGCGGUAUGGCCUUUAGCAGGGGCCGAACACCGGGUGCGUCCGGUCAGACGGGCGCGGGCCCCGCAAGCCAACAUAGAAGCCUCGUCCUACGGGGACGGCGGUCCGCGGCGUCGCGUCUGCAGGGACGCGCGGCCGCGGUUGAUCGAGGGCACUCCGUCAGGCGCGGAAGCGAGCAGCGGACCCUCGGACACCCGUCGCUCGCAGGGCCGCGGGGUGGAGGAGGCAAGCGGGAUUCCCCACGCUCGAACGACCGGGCAACCUCGGGAGUCCGUCC
rfam:Halosimplex carlsbadense 2-9-1 contig_36, whole genome shotgun sequence.